ensembl:lncRNA
AUGGUUAUUUUUAGAGUCCAAAACAACAUGUGGCUGCCUGACUCCCCAUCUGUCCUCACCUCAAAGCAUAUGCUACACUGUGCAAGCUUUGGAUUCUAUGAAAUCUGGAAACAUCCUGCAGAGACGGCAGAACGUGGUGUUCCAGUGCUCGCUAUGGCAGCACAUGUACGAGAACUGGAACAAUACAGAGAAGAUUGGGACAGUGGUGUUCCAAAUAGAAUCACCAGGCAUCAGAACAGAACGGAACAUUUGAAAUCACCGGAGAUUCAGGUUAACUGUUUCUCAAUGAAAACCCUUAAGCAAAUGUAUGUGGAUAAAUAA